ensembl:snoRNA SNORA62 Small nucleolar RNA SNORA62/SNORA6 family
GGUGCACACUGUUAAAGCCCCGGGCCGAGGUCGGUCUGUGGGUGUCGGAAGUGUGCGAGAGCAAGCGGCCAGGUUUUCGCUAACACCAUGAGGGCUGUGGCCCCAUGACUGGGGUUUGAUAGUGACCUGAGCCACAGGC